rnacentral:misc_RNA from 1 species
UGCAACUGAAUCCAAUGGCUUUACUAUUUGCGACUUUUGUGUGGCAAUCGAAUUCCGAAAUUUUGAAGUUCAUUGACUAAACCAAAGAAGAAACGUUAUCAACAAACAAAGUUUAGUAAGGAUAUUAUACUUUUAUGAAGUUCUCUCGGAACUUUAUGUAGUCAAAAUUAUCAGUAUCUCCUAACAUAUUCAAUAGUACUCUCGGCGCAUUCAACAUGGCUGGGCGAAGUGAUGAUCAGAGAGAUUAUGGGCGAAGAAAACCUCUACCGACGGAACCACCUUAUAAGGCAUAUGUUGGUAAUUUGCCUCAAGGAACCGUUCAAGGAGAUGUCAACCACAUAUUUGGUGAAUUAGACGUAAAAUCAGUACAGUUAAUUAAGGACAGAGAUACUGAUGAAUUCAAAGGAUUUGGCUAUGUCGAGUUUGGGGAUCUCGAAAGCUUGAGACGUGCUUUAGAUCUAGACGGCAGAGUACGUGUAAACGAUUGUAUGCUCAGGAUUGAUGUAGCGGAAGCUAAAAGGAGUGAACGAGGUGGAGGAUUUGACAGAGGAAGAGGAGGCGGUGGUGGCGGCGGUCGAGGUGGCUUUCGAGGAGGGAGGCCAAGUGAUCGUGACAGAUUCAAUGACUUUGGAGGUGGUGGCGGCGGUGGCGGAGGCAGAGACUGGAACAGGGGUCCACCUGGUGGCAGAAGUGGACCACCACCACCCCCUCCAAGUGGAAGUUUCGGUGGUAGACCACGGCAAGAGGAGAGAAGAGGACCACCACCUGUGGAAGAGAUAAGACCCAAUCCAGAAGACGCUGCUCGUCGACCAAAGUUAAUGCUGAAGCCAAGAACUGUAAAAGAUCCGCCCAAUCAAUUAGCAGAGACUAGUCAGGCAUCAAAAAUAUUUGGUGGUGCGAAACCACGAGAAGAAAAAAUUCUUAAGUAAUAAAAGUUAAUGUAAAUUAAGUCAAAUGCAUCUCUAAAUGUAAAUGGCUGAGCUGUAUGCAGCAGGUUAAAACUGUGUGCUG